GCGUGUGUGAAGAAGGCCUUCGGGUUGUAAAGCACUUUUGUCCGGAAAGAAAUGGCUCUGGUUAAUACCCGGGGUCGAUGACGGUACCGGAAGAAUAAGCACCGGCUAACUACGUGCCAGCAGCCGCGGUAAUACGUAGGGUGCGAGCGUUAAUCGGAAUUACUGGGCGUAAAGCGUGCGCAGGCGGUUUUGUAAGACAGGCGUGAAAUCCCCGAGCUCAACUUGGGAAUGGCGCUUGUGACUGCAAGGCUAGAGUAUGUCAGAGGGGGGUAGAAUUCCACGUGUAGCAGUGAAAUGCGUAGAGAUGUGGAGGAAUACCGAUGGCGAAGGCAGCCCCCUGGGACGUCACUGACGCUCAUGCACGAAAGCGUGGGGAGCAAACAGGAUUAGAUACCCUGGUAGUCCACGCCCUAAACGAUGUCAACUAGUUGUUGGGGAUUCAUUUCUUCAGUAACGUAGCUAACGCGUGAAGUUGACCGCCUGGGGAGUACGGUCGCAAGAUUAAAACUCAAAGGAAUUGACGGGGACCCGCACAAGCGGUGGAUGAUGUGGAUUAAUUCGAUGCAACGCGAAAAACCUUACCUACCCUUGACAUGCCACUAACGAAGCAGAGAUGCAUUAGGUGCCCGAAAGGGAAAGUGGACACAGGUGCUGCAUGGCUGUCGUCAGCUCGU
rnacentral:rRNA from 1 species